AACGAACGCUGGCGGCAGGCCUAACACAUGCAAGUCGAGCGGACCCUUCGGGGUUAGCGGCGGACGGGGGAGUAACGCGGGGGAAUAUGCCCUUCUCUACGGAAUAGUCCUGGGAAACUGGGGGUAAUACCGUAUACGCUCUUUGGGGGAAAGAUUUAUCGGGGAAGGAUGAGCCCGCGUUGGAUUAGGUAGUUGGUGGGGUAAUGGCCUACCAAGCCGACGAUCCAUAGCUGGUUGGAGAGGAUGAUCAGCCACACUGGGACUGAGACACGGCCCAGACUCAUACGGGAGGCAGCAGUGGGGUAUCUUAGACAAUGGGGGCAACCCUGAUCUAGCCACGCCGCGUGAGUGAUGAAGGCCUUAGGGUAGUAAAGCUAUUUUAGCUGGGAAGAUAAUGACGGUACCAGCAGAAGAAGCCCCGGCUAACUCCGUG
rnacentral:rRNA from 1 species